rnacentral:rRNA from 1 species
GAUGAACGCUGGCGGCGUGCCUAAUACAUGCAAGUCGAGCGAACAGACGAGGAGCUUGCUCCUCUGACGUUAGCGGCGGGCGGGUGAGUAACACGUGGAUAACCUACCUAUAAGACUGGGAUAACUUCGGGAAACCGGAGCUAAUACCGGAUAAUAUAUUGAACCGCAUGGUUCAAUAGUGAAAGACGGUUUUGCUGUCACUUAUAGAUGGAUCCGCGCCGCAUUAGCUAGUUGGUAAGGUAACGGCUUACCAAGGCAACGAUGCGUAGCCGACCUGAGAGGGUGAUCGGCCACACUGGAACUGAGACACGGUCCAGACUCCUACGGGAGGCAGCAGUAGGGAAUCUUCCGCAAUGGGCGAAAGCUUGACGGAGCAACGCCGCGUGAGUGAUGAAGGUCUUCGGAUCGUAAAACUCUGUCAUUAGGGAAGAACAAAUGUGUAAGUAACUAUGCACGUCUUGACGGUACCUAAUCAGAAAGCCACGGCUAACUACGUG